UAAUACAUGCAAGUUGAGCGCUGAAGGUUGGUACUUGUACCGACUGGAUGAGCAGCGAACGGGUGAGUAACGCGUGGGGAAUCUGCCUUUGAGCGGGGGACAACAUUUGGAAACGAAUGCUAAUACCGCAUAAAAACUUUAAACACAAGUUUUAAGUUUGAAAGAUGCAAUUGCAUCACUCAAAGAUGAUCCCGCGUUGUAUUAGCUAGUUGGUGAGGUAAAGGCUCACCAAGGCGAUGAUACAUAGCCGACCUGAGAGGGUGAUCGGCCACAUUGGGACUGAGACACGGCCCAAACUCCUACGGGAGGCAGCAGUAGGGAAUCUUCGGCAAUGGACGAAAGUCUGACCGAGCAACGCCGCGUGAGUGAAGAAGGUUUUCGGAUCGUAAAACUCUGUUGGUAGAGAAGAACGUUGGUGAGAGUGGAAAGCUCAUCAAGUGACGGUAACUACCCAGAAAGGGACGGCUAACUACGUGCCAGCAGCCGCGGUAAUACGUAGGUCCCGAGCGUUGUCCGGAUUUAUUGGGCGUAAAGCGAGCGCAGGUGGUUUAUUAAGUCUGGUGUAAAAGGCAGUGGCUCAACCAUUGUAUGCAUUGGAAACUGGUAGACUUGAGUGCAGGAGAGGAGAGUGGAAUUCCAUGUGUAGCGGUGAAAUGCGUAGAUAUAUGGAGGAACACCGGUGGCGAAAGCGGCUCUCUGGCCUGUAACUGACACUGAGGCUCGAAAGC
rnacentral:rRNA from 1 species